rnacentral:tRNA from 1 species
GGCCAGGUGGCGGAGUGGUUACGCAGUGGACUGCAAAUCCAUCUACACCGGUUCGAUUCCGGUCCUGGCCUCCA